rnacentral:lncRNA from 1 species
CAGUAUGCUCUGGUCCUGAGCAGAGCAUCCAAACAACCAACCAACCAGCACAAAUGACAAAUCUGAGCCCUCCACUGCCCCACAGCACCCCACCCACAACAUAUUCAAAGCAUAAUUGCAACGAGAAAAAAAAGAAAUUGCAAAACAUGAAAACAAACCACAGCAUAAACCGAAUAGUGCCAGAUAGUCACAUAACUAAAUAAGCAUCCAGGUUUGCACCCCUGAAGUUAACAACUCAACACAAACACAGUGUCCAAAUAACUGAAGCAGUACCAGGCAAGCGUUACACAGAAGGAUCACUCCAACCUGACAGCUCAACUAAAACCUACACGACGACAGGGACUCACAGAGGA